UUAAAAUUGUUGCAGUUAAAAAGCUCGUAGUUGAAUUUCUGCUGCUCCGCAUUUUCCCUUUGAGGGGUUUUUGCGCUGUGGCUUAUUUCGGACUGUGUUNUGCACUGUCCGGAUGUUUACUUUGAGAAAAUUAGAGUGCUCAAAGCAGGCUUUUGCCUUGAAUAGUUUAGCAUGGAAUAAUAAAGUAGGACUUUGGUUCUAUUUUGUUGGUUUUAGGUACCAAAGUAAUGGUUAAUAGGAACAGUUGGGGGCAUUCGUAUUUAACUGUCAGAGGUGAAAUUCUUAGAUUUGUUAAAGACGAACUACUGCGAAAGCAUUUGCCAAGGAUGUUUUCAUUAAUCAAGAACGAAAGUUAGGGGAUCGAAGACGAUCAGAUACCGUCGUAGUCCUAACCAUAAACUAUGCCGACUAGAGAUUGGAGGUCGUCAGUUU
rnacentral:rRNA from 1 species